rnacentral:rRNA from 1 species
CCUACGGGGAGCAGCAGUGAGGAAUAUUGGUCAAUGGACGGAAGUCUGAACCAGCCAUGCCGCGUGCAGGAAGACGGCUCUAUGAGUUGUAAACUGCUUUUGUACAAGGGUAAACCUGAAUACGUGUAUUCAGCUGAAAGUACUGUACGAAUAAGGAUCGGCUAACUCCGUGCCAGCAGCCGCGGUAAUACGUAGGUGGCAAGCGUUGUUCGGAAUAACUGGGCGUAAAGGAUGCGUAGGCGGUUAAACAAGGUAUAUGUUAAAUAUAUAGGCUUAACCUGUAGAAAGCAUAUAAAACUGUUUAACUAGAGUGCAGGAGAGGGAAGUGGAAUUCCUAGUGUAGCGGUGAAAUGCGUAGAGAUGAGGAAGAACACCAGUGGCGAAGGCGACUUACUGGACUGUAACUGACGCUGAGGCAUGAGAGCAUGGGGAGCAAACAGGAUUAGAUACCCUGGUAGUC